ACAGGGAUUGCCCUAGUAACGGCGAGUGAAGCGGCAACAGCUCAAAUUUGAAAUCUGGCGUCUUCGGCGUCCGAGUUGUAAUUUGCAGAGGGCGCUUUGGCAUUGGCAGCGGUCCAAGUUCCUUGGAACAGGACGUCACAGAGGGUGAGAAUCCCGUACGUGGUCGCUAGCCUUUACCGUGUAAAGCCCCUUCGACGAGUCGAGUUGUUUGGGAAUGCAGCUCUAAAUGGGAGGUAAAUUUCUUCUAAAGCUAAAUACUGGCCAGAGACCGAUAGCGCACAAGUAGAGUGAUCGAAAGAUGAAAAGCACUUUGGAAAGAGAGUUAAAAAGCACGUGAAAUUGUUGAAAGGGAAGCGCUUGCAGCCAGACUUGCCUGUAGUUGCUCAUCCGGGUUUCUACCCGGUGCACUCUUCUAUAGGCAGGCCAGCAUCAGUUUGGGCGGUUGGAUAAAGGUCUCUGUCAUGUACCUCYYYUCGGGGAGAACUUAUAGGGGAGACGACAUGCAACCAGCCYGGACUGAGGUCCGCGCAUCUGCUAGGAUGCUGGCGUAAUGGCUGUAAGCGGCCCGUCUUGAAACACGGACCAAGGAGUCUAACAUCUAUGCGAGUGUUUGGGUGUCAAGCCCGARCGCGUAAUGAAAGUGAACGGAGGUGGGAACCUUUCGGGGUGCACCAUCGACCGAUCCUGAUGUCUUCGGAUGGAUUUGAGUAAGAGCAUAGCUGUUGGGACCCGAAAGAUGGUGAACUAUGCUUGAAUAGGGUGAAGCCAGAGGAAACUCUGGUGGAGGCUCGCAGCGGUUCUGACGUGCAAAUCGAUCGUCAAAUUUGGGCAUAGGGGCGAAAGACUAAUCGAACUAUCUAGUAGCUGGUUCCUGCCGAAGUUUCCCUCAGGAUAGCAGUAACGUUUUCAGUUUUAUGAGGUAAAGCGAAUGAUUAGAGGCCUGGGGGUUGAAACAACCUU
rnacentral:rRNA from 1 species